CGCAGGUCAAAACUUUUUUACAGGACAGCGAUGUCAGCCUACCCAGUUACUAGCGUCAAAGAUUUGUUUUAUUCAGGAUCAAAGACGAUUCAAACCUGAAGAAAUCGAGCGUGAGUAGCACAUAUGAGAUAUCGACAUGACCUUCUGCUGACCGGCUUUAUGUACAUUUUCUACUGACUGACUUUGCAAAAGCAAAAGCAUUUUCUUUUAUUAAACGCACAAAAUAAUUUUAGAGACGAAAAAAAAUCCUCUUCACUGCCCCUACAGGAGCGCUGGCAGUCCAGAUUCCUGUCCGCACAUAUUUGAGAAAAAAAAAAUACUAAAAGCUGCCUGUGCUUUGCAUCUAGAAACCGUUGCUGGUAUACGAGUUUAAAAGAAAUACUAAAUAGAAGCACAAUGACGCUUCUGACCUCCCAGGCUCCCUGUUUAAGCUCAACACAUCAGAACACAUUUCUUAUCAUCUUGGGGAGGAAAAAAAACAGCGACCCACAUAUACUAAAUCUCUAAAGAGUUGUCGUCCCCGUCAGUCGCUCUUUCGGAAAUCCACGGAAAAAAUCAGCCUGCCCCUCGCCAAAGCUCGGGAAGAAAAAAACAGCGACAGCCCUGCUUUCUCAAGUAAAGAGGAAGGAAAUACAGAAGAGAAGGGAAAAAAAGGAGUUAGACACAGCGGAUCUGUCAGUCAUCGCCGACUUGGGAGUAAAAGGGGCCUCUUGUCAGUCGCUAUGCCUUUGAUGUGACGAGGGAUGGCGGUGCUCAAUUAAAAGCCUAUCAGUCUCUUAGGGUCAGGGCAGCGCGGCGGAAAUCCCGGACUGGAUCGCGGCUCUGCGCGGAGAGGGGACUGCGGAGCCGAACAGGCGGGGAGCGUGCCGCCGCGCGGGCUCUGCCGCGAGAGAGUCCCGUGCAAGUUGUCUGAUACUCGAGCCGCGCCGGCUUGUUCUCGCGUUUGGCGCAGGUGUUCCCUCGGUAUGGCUGAAAUGCAGAUCCUCGUUUAAGGGCGGCGUAUUCAACAGAAAUGGUUGGUUUUGAAUCCACCCCCCCGCCCCCCAAAUCAGCCGGUAUACUGCAAGGAAGUACAAAAACAUAUCACGGAAGAUUGUAUAAGACGCUUCUCAAAGAGCUGCUCUUUUUGCAGUUACAGCUCAUAUAGAAAAUGAAACGUGCUUAAAACGAAAGGCAACCUGAUAGCUGCCAAGGUCGUAAUUUAUAUACACGUUGGAUUUAUUAAGAAUGCUUGGAAAAAUCAAUAAACCUUUCCAGAGCAGAAUUAAGCUUCAUUAACAACAUUUUUUGGGGAUUAUAUUUAUUAGGAUUAUACCAUAUAAAAGAUGAUUAAUGUUCUCUCUCUAUAUAGAUUUUUUGCUCUUGCUUUCUUUUUUUUAUUGUCGUUUGGCAGUUUCGUUCCAAAGCAAAACUCUUUAAAUACACAAAAGUGAUAUAAAUAACAUGGUGGCUGACUGCAGUCUGAGGAGGGCUGUCGGCUGUACUAAAGAAUAACGACCUACCUUGUUUCUUGUUAAUGUUGGCUUGGAAUUCACUCCAGAUAAAAGAUGAAAGCCUAUAACGAUAAUAUAAUCUUUUCUCCUUCCUUGGCCCUGUAUGAACUAUCCGUUGAUAUGCUGUGUAUAUAUUAUUUUAUGUGUGCAUUUCAUUUUUUUAGGGCUAAGAAAGGCCCCGUUUCAUGAGCUGAAAGGGCGCCUUAGGUUUCUUUUCCUUGGGUUGGGACCCGACUGUGUCGGUGUCCCGGCAAUAAAUCAGGGACUGCUUAAUUAGGCUGAAAACAGGAAACAUUUCCUUUUCAAUGGAGCGUGAAUUAUGUAUAUGAGUUUGUGUAUUAAUAAAUCCGCAGAGGGGACCACCCCCCACGCACUUUCCACUUGGGGUUUCUACACUGAAUCUUGGACGCUGAAACCCACUCUCUCGGUCACGCGGCCAGCGGGGUGCGCGCACCGGCGCUUUAAGGCUUGAGAGGUGCGCGAGCUUGGCGAGCGCUUUGGGAGCUCGUGGUCGUGCCACGUCAUCGGAACGGGGCGAGGAGGGGGAGGUUGCGUCGCUACGUACCUAGCCGUCUAUUCAAUGUGAUAGGCUUGGCCUAGUAUCUUUGAACCCUCUGAUCCCCUAAUUGCCUUGACGUGUCAUUCAUUCUUUGUGUGCUGAAGAACAUGUGUCAGUUGGGCUGGCGCUGUAGUGAGAGAUCGGCUUCUCCCUUGAAGACAUUUGCUGGGUGCAACAAAAUUACAGUAUCUUCCUAGAUGACAGCAUCAGGGUAUGACAACGACAAUGACUUUACACAGCAGGAGAAAGUCUGUUAAAACACAGCAAAGACAGACUUAGCUGGAAAGCUAAAAAAAUGUUUCAUGUAAUGUGGCCUAGUGCAAAAAAUCAUUGCUUUGCUUCACUGCAUAGUCAUCUUAUUGAUGUCGUUGUGCAAUGGGGAAAUACCAUAGAUCAUAGUUAAACAACUGGCUGAGUGCUUAAACAGAGUUUUUAAAAAGCAUAAAAACUACAGAAUCAGUCUAUGAAUUUCCUGCUGUAAAUCCUUAACUUGGGCUAUGAGAGAGUUUUCCCAGUUCCUCUCUUUAUUUUCAGAGCCUGAAAAUAUUGCCUUGGUUGCAGAGCUGGAGGAGGUCAAAUGUGUCCCAAAUGAUUCAGCCCUCCACCCCCUUGCUCCUCAUUCUUCAGCUUAUGUUAACUUUAAAUCAGUAUUACGACUCGCUAAAUCAAAGGGAGCACUUAUUUACAGCCCCUCACAUUUUAUUCGUUUGAAACAAAGGGUGGAAAAUAAACUUUUAAUGGUGCCUUUUCCCCGUGCUUUCCCAGUGUGUGUGUGUGAUGGGUUUUGCUGUGGGAGCUGUCUUGCUGUGCCAAGCACAUCAAGAGCAAAAACCCCAAGGAGAUGGGAAAGGAAUGAGCCCUGGCCGGCACAGUUCGGGGGCCCAGGUAUGUUUUAAAUUACAUGAAACAAGUGAUGUCAGCCCUGCUUGCUUUUCAUCAUUGGCCUUGGCAGAGAGGCCUCAUAAUAAAACAUGCACUGAACUGGACCAGGAUCUCUCCUGGAGAUCAGAUGUAAAUGAAUAAGUGAAUAAUUCAUUACUGUUUAGGAAUAAUAGGUAUUAAGCAAACCAGUUCCCUGAUCCUUACUCUGAAAGCCCCGAGUCAUGAGAAUUUUUGUUUUCUAAAAUUAUCUUCAAGCUGAUUUUGUGUACUUCAGAGAUCUUUAAAAAUAAACCAUAAAUGUAUGCUCAUGCAUAUGCAAAAAAAUUGUGCAAGCUAUACUGAUCUAAUUUCGGUGAAAAGAGACACAUAUGUGACUUGUUUUGCUUUAUGAUGCAAUGUCAAUGUAAUUAAAGGAACUGCUUUUUUGCUGCGAGAAAAGAUCAUGUAA